rnacentral:Y_RNA from 1 species
GGCUGGUCUGAAAGUAGUCAGUUAUCUCAAUUGACUGUUCACAGUCAUAGGUGAACUUUUUGUUCUACUCUUUUCCACAUUCUCACUACCAUACUUGACUAGUCUGAA